rnacentral:rRNA from 1 species
GACGUAGGGCGUGAGCGUUGUCCGGAUUUAUUGGGCGUAAAGAGCUCGUAGGCGGUUUGUCGCGUCGUCCGUGAAAACCUGUGGCUUAACUACAGGCUUGCGGUCGAUACGGGCAGGCUAGAGUUCGGUAGGGGAGACUGGAAUUCCUGGUGUAGCGGUGAAAUGCGCAGAUAUCAGGAGGAACACCGGUGGCGAAGGCGGGUCUUUGGGCCGAUACUGACGCUGAGGAGCGAAAGCGUGGGGAGCGAACAGG